rnacentral:rRNA from 1 species
AAAGUUCUGUUGUUAGGGAAGAACAAGUACCAGAGUAACUGCUGGUACCUUGACGGUACCUAACCAGAAAGCCACGGCUAACUACGUGCCAGCAGCCGCGGUAAUACGUAGGUGGCAAGCGUUGUCCGGAAUUAUUGGGCGUAAAGCGCGCGCAGGCGGUUUCUUAAGUCUGAUGUGAAAGCCCACGGCUCAACCGUGGAGGGUCAUUGGAAACUGGGGAACUUGAGUGCAGAAGAGGAGAGUGGAAUUCCACGUGUAGCGGUGAAAUGCGUAGAGAUGUGGAGGAACACCAGUGGCGAAGGCGACUCUCUGGUCUGUAACUGACGCUGAGGCGCGAAAGCGUGGGGAGCGAACAGGAUUAGAUACCCUGGUAGUCCACGCCGUAAACGAUGAGUGCUAAGUGUUAGAGGGUUUCCGCCCUUUAGUGCUGCAGCAAACGCAUUAAGCACUCCGCCUGGGGAGUACGGUCGCAAGACUGAAACUCAAAGGAAUUGACGGGGGCCCGCACAAGCGGUGGAGCAUGUGGUUUAAUUCGAAGCAACGCGAAGAACCUUACCAGGUCUUGACAUCCCACUGCCCGGUAUAGAGAUAUACCUUUCCCUUCGGGGACAGUGGUGACA